CACCGGCGGCCCGAGUGGUGAUCGUGAUUAUUGGGUCUAAAGGGUCCGUAGCCGGUUUGGUCAGUCCUCCGGGAAAUCUGACGGCUCAACCGUUAGGCUUUCGGGGGAUACUGCCAGGCUUGGAACCGGGAGAGGUAAGAGGUACUACAGGGGUAGGAGUGAAAUCUUGUAAUCCCUGUGGGACCACCUGUGGCGAAGGCGUCUUACCAGAACGGGUUCGACGGUGAGGGACGAAAGCUGGGGGCACGAACCGG
rnacentral:rRNA from 1 species